GACGAACGCUGGCGGCGUGCCUAAUACAUGCAAGUCGAACGAACUCUGGUAUUGAUUGGUGCUUGCAUCAUGAUUUACAUUUGAGUGAGUGGCGAACUGGUGAGUAACACGUGGGAAACCUGCCCAGAAGCGGGGGAUAACACCUGGAAACAGAUGCUAAUACCGCAUAACAACUUGGACCGCAUGGUCCGAGUUUGAAAGAUGGCUUCGGCUAUCACUUUUGGAUGGUCCCGCGGCGUAUUAGCUAGAUGGUGGGGUAACGGCUCACCAUGGCAAUGAUACGUAGCCGACCUGAGAGGGUAAUCGGCCACAUUGGGACUGAGACACGGCCCAAACUCCUACGGGAGGCAGCAGUAGGGAAUCUUCCACAAUGGACGAAAGUCUGAUGGAGCAACGCCGCGUGAGUGAAGAAGGGUUUCGGCUCGUAAAACUCUGUUGUUAAAGAGGAACAUAUCUGAGAGUAACUGUUCAGGUAUUGACGGUAUUUAACCAGAAAGCCACGGCUAACUACGUGCCAGCAGCCGCGGUAAUACGUAGGUGGCAAGCGUUGUCCGGAUUUAUUGGGCGUAAAGCGAGCGCAGGCGGUUUUUUAAGUCUGAUGUGAAAGCCUUCGGCUCAACCGAAGAAGUGCAUCGGAAACUGGGAAACUUGAGUGCAGAAGAGGACAGUGGAACUCCAUGUGUAGCGGUGAAAUGCGUAGAUAUAUGGAAGAACACCAGUGGCGAAGGCGGCUGUCUGGUCUGUAACUGACGCUGAGGCUCGAAAGUAUGGGUAGCAAACAGGAUUAGAUACCCUGGUAGUCCAUACCGUAAACGAUGAAUGCUAAGUGUUGGAGGGUUUCCGCCCUUCAGUGCUGCAGCUAACGCAUUAAGCAUUCCGCCUGGGGAGUACGGCCGCAAGGCUGAAACUCAAAGGAAUUGACGGGGGCCCGCACAAGCGGUGGAGCAUGUGGUUUAAUUCGAAGCUACGCGAAGAACCUUACCAGGUCUUGACGUACUAUGCAAAUCUAAGAGAUUAGACGUUCCCUUCGGGGACAUGGAUACAGGUGGUGCAUGGUUGUCGUCAGCUCGUGUCGUGAGAUGUUGGGUUAAGUCCCGCAACGAGCGCAACCCUUAUUAUCAGUUGCCAGCAUUAAGUUGGGCACUCUGGUGAGACUGCCGGUGACAAACCGGAGGAAGGUGGGGAUGACGUCAAAUCAUCAUGCCCCUUAUGACCUGGGCUACACACGUGCUACAAUGGAUGGUACAACGAGUUGCGAACUCGCGAGAGUAAGCUAAUCUCUUAAAGCCAUUCUCAGUUCGGAUUGUAGGCUGCAACUCGCCUACAUGAAGUCGGAAUCGCUAGUAAUCGCGGAUCAGCAUGCCGCGGUGAAUACGUUCCCGGGCCUUGUACACACCGCCCGUCACACCAUGAGAGUUUGUAACACCCAAAGUCGGUGGGGUAACCUUUUAGGAACCAGCCGCCUAAGGUGGGACAGAUGAUUAGGGUG
rnacentral:rRNA from 1 species